AGCAGGAGAGCGCCCUGCGGGAACUGCGUGAGCGCGUGACCCAUGGCUUGGCUGAAGCCGGCAGGGACCGCGAGGACGUCAGCACUGAGCUGUACCGGGCGCUGGAGGCCGUGAGGCUGCAGAACAGUGAGGGUGAGGGGGGGUAGGAGGGGGUGCGGUGUAAGUAGACCCUGCCCGUGUGCGUCGCCGGACCCCCUCUUUGACCUUGGCCUGGUCCUGUGGCUCCACCCCUGAGCCCGUGGGGCCAAACCCCUACCCCCUGCAUCCUCUUGGUGCGCUCUCCCUGGAAGCACUCGACCUCUCUGACCCUCGCCACCCUGCAGGUUCCUGUGAGCCGUGCCCUACGUCGUGGCUGCCCUUCGGGGGCUCCUGCUACUAUUUCUCUGUGCCGAAGACCACGUGGGCAGAGGCGCAGGGCCACUGCGCCGAUGCCAGCGCACAUCUGGUGAUGUAGGGGGCCUGGGGGAGCAGGACUUCCUGAGUCGUGACACUAGUGCCCUUGAAUACUGGAUCGGCCGCAGGGCCGUGCAACACCUGCGCAAGGUUCAGGGCUACUCGUGGGUGGACGGAGUCCCACUCAGCUUCAGGUAGGGGAAGGGCUUCUGGUGAAACCUGGGGGCCACAGGUUAGACUCUAGAGGACAUGUUUUGAGGCCGAGGUGGGCGGAUCACCUGAGGUCAGGAGUUCAAGACCAGCAUGGGAAACGUGGCGAAACCCCGUCUCUACUAAAAAUACAAAAAAUUAGCCGUGCGUGGUGGCACACGCCUGUAAUCCCAGCUAACCCGGGAUGCUGAGGCACGAGAAUCGCUUGAACCCAGGAGGCAGAG
rnacentral:lncRNA from 1 species